rnacentral:lncRNA from 1 species
AUGAGGAGCCUCAGGAUUUCAGGAGCUUUUCUGCGUGACCUGUUGGUUAACCAACAAAUCCUGAUGGACCAGCAAAAGACCAUGAUACGCAUGAUCCAAGACCUCCACAGAUCCAUCCAGGGAGGUCAGAGGAUGUCCACCACCUCCAGGCAUAAUGCUGCCUAUUCUCCGUUGGGGGAUAAACUGGCUCUGGAGGAGGCCCUGGAGGGUGACCUGGCAAGCCAGCGGGACCUUCGUCAUGAAUUGGGGAGCUGCUUUUGAUUUUCUUUGUUUACCAUACAUAGACGAAUGUGUGGCGCAGCGCCACAGAAUCAACACAGAGCGCCAAAUUGAUUCUGCUUCUUUUUUUCUUUUUUUUUGCGAUUUUUAAUUUUAAUCAUCGUUCCGUUCAUUCAUCUCCUCAGCACUCUUUCUCCCUGACAUUCUCGUUCACACACGCAUACGCACACGAACACGCACAGAGACAAGUGCGCAUUCAUGCCAGUGGUGCGCUGGUACACUAAACAGCAGAUUCGCCCUUCCUCCUCUCAACGCGCCUAUCAAAGGAAAACCCGAAGCAGCGGUAUUUUUGGCACAGAGAAGACGUUUUACCAAAGUUUAGUAGCCUAUGAUAUAGGCUACCAUGCUAAAAAAGACCUGGCCAUAAUUAUUGUUAAUUCAAAAUUAUUCUUAACUAAAACGAUGCGAUUAAUAUGAAACACGGCCGUAAUAAUCUAAUUGUAUAUUAUCACUCUUGGAUUGGCAGAGGGAGCUGAUGCCUAAGACACAGUGUGGCGCAUUCUCAAACAGGCCGUCAAAAAUGACCUUGCAGAGAACAUCUCAUGGCGGGAGAUGAAUGGAAAGAUUUCAUUCGAAAAACUACAUCUGAAGGCAGUAGUGAUGGGUAAGCAUUUUAACUGUUCAUAUCACAAGCAUCCUGUUCUAGGCUCUGAUAAAUCUUCUCCCAAGAAUCCUGCACCUGCGGAUUCUAUCAGGCUGAAACCAUCAGUCUGAACUGAACUCAAAGCACUUUUGAAAUGAUUCUGGGAGACAACACACAGCCCACACAGCCACAGAGCAUGCACCUAUCUCCCACAUGAUGAGUUAUAUUGGCAAUGCUUACAGUUGGGAAUAAGAUUGUAGCAUGCAUUACAGUAUUGCUGUUUGAAUCCAGUUAUAUCUGUUAAAAUCACUGACACAAACUUUCUUUGUGCCUUCAAUUUCAGAUGCAGUGAGGCGCAAUCCAUCCUGCUCAUCCGCAACGGAUGUGCAGAUUGCGGAUGCCAUUAAACAAAGGUUUUUUUUAUUGGGCUGGGAAAAGGGAGGGAGGGAGGAAUUAACGCCAGCCGGCUCCAAACCAGGAGCAAACUGAUUAAAUCUAAUAAAAGAUACUACUUUAAAAUAUUUUGUUUCAUUAUUUGUGCAUUAUACACAUAGAAC